UACGUAGGGUGCGAGCGUUAAUCGGAAUUACUGGGCGUAAAGCGUGCGCAGGCGGCUUUGUAAGCCCGAUGUGAAAGCCCCGGGCUUAACCUGGGAAUGGCAUUUGGGACUGCAAGGCUUGAGUGCGGCAGAGGAGACUGGAAUUCCUGGUGUAGCAGUGAAAUGCGUAGAUAUCGCGUGGAACGCCAACGGUGAAAACAGGUUGCUGGGGGUGUGCUGACGCUGAGACACGAAAGCCAGGGGAGCGAACGGG
rnacentral:rRNA from 1 species